rnacentral:rRNA from 1 species
UACACGACCGUACCGCAAACCGACACUGGUGCGCGAGAUGAGUAUUCUAAGGCGCUUGAGAGAACUCAGGAGAAGGAACUCGGCAAAUUGACACCGUAACUUCGGAAGAAGGUGUGCCUUUAGUAGGUGAAGGGAUUUACUCCUAGAGCCCAAUGAGGUUGCAAAAAAUCGGUGGCUGCGACUGUUUAUUAAAAACACAGCACUCUGCAAACACGAAAGUGGACGUAUAGGGUGUGACGCCUGCCCGGUGCUGGAAGAUUAAAUGAUGGGGUGCAAGCUCUUGAUUGAAGUCCCAGUAAACGGCGGCCGUAACAAUAACGGUCCUAAGGUAGCGAAAUUCCUUGUCGGGUAAGUUCCGACCUGCACGAAUGGCGUAACGAUGGCCACACUGUCUCCUCCUGAGACUCAGCGAAGUUGAAAUGUUUGUGAUGAUGCAAUCUCCCCGCGGAAAGACGGAAAGACCCCAUGAACCUUUACUGUAGCUUUGUAUUGGACUUUGAACAGAUCUGUGUAGUAUAGGUGGGAGGCUUUGAAGUAGGGUCGCUAGAUCUUAUGGAGCCAACGUUGAAAUACCACCCUGGUGUGUUUGAGGUUCUAACCUAGGUCCAUUAUCUGGAUCGGGGACAGUGCAUGGUAGGCAGUUUGACUGGGGCGGUCUCCUCCCAAAGCGUAACGGAGGAGUUCGAAGGUACGCUAGUUACGGUCGGACAUCGUGACGAUAGUGCAAUGGCAUAAGCGUGCUUAACUGCGAGACUGACAAGUCGAGCAGAUGCGAAAGCAGGACAUAGUGAUCCGGUGGUUCUGUAUGGAAGGGCCAUCGCUCAACGGAUAAAAGGUACUCUGGGGAUAACAGGCUGAUACCGCCCAAGAGUUCAUAUCGACGGCGGUGUUUGGCACCUCGAUGUCGGCUCAUCUCAUCCUGGGGCUGUAGCCGGUCCCAAGGGUAUGGCUGUUCGCCAUUUAAAGAGGUACGUGAGCUGGGUUUAAAACGUCGUGAGACAGUUUGGUCCCUAUCUUCCGUGGGCGCUGCAGAUUUGAAGAAGCCUGCUCCUAGUACGAGAGGACCGGAGAGGACACACCUCUGGUGUAUCGGUUGUCACGCCAGUGGCAUUGCCGAGUAGCUAAGUGUGGAAGAGAUAACCGCUGAAAGCAUCUAAGCGGGAAACUCGUUUCAAGAUGAGAUCUGCCGGGGCCUUGAGCCCCCUAAAGAGUCGUUCAAGACCAGGACGUUGAUAGGUCGGGUGUGGAAGCGCAGUAA